ACAGGUAUAGCUCAGUGGAAGAGCGUGUGCUUUAGCAUGUGUGAGGUCCUGGGUUCAACCCCCAGUACCUCAA
rnacentral:tRNA from 1 species